rnacentral:rRNA from 1 species
AGUGAACGCUGGCGGUAGGCCUAACACAUGCAAGUCGAACGGCAGCACAGUAAGAGCUUGCUCUUACGGGUGGCGAGUGGCGGACGGGUGAGGAAUACAUCGGAAUCUACUUUUUCGUGGGGGAUAACGUAGGGAAACUUACGCUAAUACCGCAUACGACCUACGGGUGAAAGCAGGGGAUCUUCGGACCUUGCGCGAUUGAAUGAGCCGAUGUCGGAUUAGCUAGUUGGCGGGGUAAAGGCCCACCAAGGCGACGAUCCGUAGCUGGUCUGAGAGGAUGAUCAGCCACACUGGAACUGUGACUCGGUCCAGACUCCUACGGGAGGCAGCAGUGGGGAAUAUUGGACAAUGGUCGCAAGCCUGAUCCAGCCAUACCGCGUGGGUGAAGAAGUCCUUCGGGUUUUAAAGCCCUUUUGUUGGGAAAGAAAAGCAGCAGGUUAAUACCCCGCUGUUCUGACGGUACCCAAAGAAUAAGCACCGGCUAACUUCGUG